ACGGGUGCGUAACACGUAUGUAACCUACCUUAAUCUGGGGGAUAGCCUCUCGAAAGAGAGAUUAACACCGCAUAACAUCACGAUAUAGCAUUUUAUUGUGAUCAAAUAUUUAUAGGAUUAAGAUGGGCAUGCGGAACAUUAGCUAGUUGGUAAGGUAAUGGCUUACCAAGGCUACGAUGUUUAGGGGAUCUGAGAGGAUGACCCCCCACACUGGUACUGAGACACGGACCAGACUCCUACGGGAGGCAGCAGUAAGGAAUAUUGGUCAAUGGGCGCAAGCCUGAACCAGCCAUGCCGCGUGCAGGAAGACGGCCCUACGGGUUGUAAACUGCUUUUGUACCGGAAUAAACUUUGAUACGUGUAUCAAGCUGAAUGUACGGUAAGAAUAAGGAUCGGCUAACUCCGUGCCAGCAGCCGCGGUAAUACGGAGGAUCCAAGCGUUAUCCGGAUUUAUUGGGUUUAAAGGGUGCGUAGGCGGUUCUUUAAGUCAGGGGUGAAAGACGGUAGCUUAACUAUCGCAGUGCCUUUGAUACUGAAGAACUUGAAUACACUUGAGGUAGGCGGAAUGUGACAAGUAGCGGUGAAAUGC
rnacentral:rRNA from 1 species